rnacentral:rRNA from 1 species
GACGAACGCUGGCGGCGUGCUUAACACAUGCAAGUCGAACGGAAAGGCCCUGCUUGCAGGGUACUCGAGUGGCGAACGGGUGAGUAACACGUGGGUGAUCUGCCCUGCACUUCGGGAUAAACCUGGGAAACUGGGUCUAAUACCGGAUAGGAGCCAUUUUUAGUGUGAUGGUUGGAAAGUUUUUUCGGUGUAGGAUGAGCUCGCGGCCUAUCAGCUUGUUGGUGGGGUAAUGGCCUACCAAGGCGGCGACGGGUAGCCGGCCUGUGAGGGUGGACGGCCACAUUGGGACUGAGAUACGGCCCAGACUCCUACGGGCGGCAGCAGUGGGGAAGAUUGCACCAUGGGCGCCAGCCUGAUGCAGCGACGCCGCGUGGGGGAUGACGGCCUUCGGGUUGUAAACUCCUUUCGCUAGGGACGAAGCUUUUUGUGACGGUACCUAGAUAAGAAGCACCGGCUAACUACGUG